rnacentral:rRNA from 3 species
CUAAGAAUAUUCCGCAAUGGACGAAAGUCUGACGGAGCGACGCCGCGUGGAUGACGAAGGCCGAAAGGUUGUAAAAUCCUUUUGCUGAUGAAGAAUAAGCGUGGUAGGGAAUGACCGCGUGAUGACAUUAGUCGGUGAAUAAGCCCCGGCUAACUACGUGCCAGCAGCCGCGGUAACACGUAGGGGGCAAGCGUUGUUCGGAAUUAUUGGGCGUAAAGGGCAUGUAGGCGGUUUGGUAAGCCUGAUGUGAAAUCCUGCAGCUUAACUGUAGAAUUGCAUUGGGUACUGCCGAACUUGAAUCACUGAGGGGAAACUAGAAUUCCAGGUGUAGGGGUGGAAUCUGUAGAUAUCUGGAAGAAUACCGGUGGCGAAGGCGGGUUUCUAGCAGAUGAUUGACGCUGAGGUGCGAAAGUGCGGGGAGCGAACAGG